rnacentral:rRNA from 1 species
GAUGAACGCUGGCGGCGUGCUUAACACAUGCAAGUCGAACGGUAAGGCCCUUCGGGGUACACGAGUGGCGAACGGGUGAGUAACACGUGGGUGAUCUACCCUGCACUUCGGGAUAAGCCUGGGAAACUGGGUCUAAUACCGGAUAGGACCACUGCCUGCAUGGGUGGUGGUGGAAAGCUUUUGCGGUGUGGGAUGGGCCCGCGGCCUAUCAGCUUGUUGGUGGGGUGAUGGCCUACCAAGGCGACGACGGGUAGCCGGCCUGAGAGGGUGACCGGCCACACUGGGACUGAGAUACGGCCCAGACUCCUACGGGAGGCAGCAGUGGGGAAUAUUGCACAAUGGGCGCAAGCCUCAUGCAGCGACGCCGCGUGAGGGAUGACGGCCUUCGGGUUGUAAACCUCUUUCAGCACCGACGAAGCGCAAGUGACGGUAGGUGCAGAAGAAGGACCGGCCAACUACGUGCCAGCAGCCGCCGUAA